rnacentral:rRNA from 1 species
CCUACGGGAGGCAGCAGUGGGGAAUAUUGGGCAAUGGGCGCAAGCCUGACCCAGCAACGCCGCGUGAAGGAAGAAGGCCUUCGGGUUGUAAACUUCUUUUGUCAGGGACGAAGAAAGUGACGGUACCUGACGAAUAAGUCACGGCUAACUACGUGCCAACAGCCGCGGUAAUACGUAGGUGGCAAGCGUUAUCCGGAUUUACUGGGUGUAAAGGGCGUGUAGGCGGGAGAGCAAGUCAGACGUUAAAUUUCAGGGCUCAACCCUGGAACUGCGUUUGAAACUGUUCUUCUUGAGUGAUGGAGAGGCAGGCGGAAUUCAGUGUGUAGCGGUGAAAUGCGUAGAUAUACGGAAGAACACCAGUGGCGAAGGCGGCCUGCUGGACAUUAACUGACGCUGAGGCGCGAAAGCGUGGGGAGCAAACAGGAUUAGAUACCCUUGUAGUC